UACAGAGGUCCCGAGCGUUUGUUCGGAUUCACUGGGCGUAAAGGGUGCGUAGGUGGCUGGGAAAGUUUGAUGUGAAAGCUCAGGGCUUAACCCUGAAAUGGCAUUGAAUACUGCCUGGCUGGAGGUUUGGAGGGGGGACUGGAAUUCUUGGUGUAGCAGUGAAAUGCGUAGAUAUCAGGAGGAACACCAACGGCGAAGGCAGCUCGCUGGGACGGUACUGACGCUGAGGCGCGAAAGCGUGGGGGAGCGAACAGG
rnacentral:rRNA from 1 species